rnacentral:rRNA from 1 species
AGUAGUCUUUUAAUUGAAGGCUGGAAUGAAUGGUUGGACAAGGUACAAACUAUCUUAAAUUUAGGAAUUGAAUUUUACUUUUAAGUGAAAAGGCUUAAAUAUUUUAAAGUGACGAUAAGACCCUAUAAAGCUUUACAUUUAAUUGUUUGAUUCUAUAUUUAAGGUUUAAAUUUAAUUUUAUAAUUAUUGUUGCAUUGGGGCGAUGUGAGUUUAAUAAGUAACAGUUGUUAAUUAAAAAUAGAUUAUAUCUAGGAGAGGAGAUCCUUUAUAAAGAUUAUAAGAAAAAGUUACUUUAGGGAUAACAGCGUAAUUUUUUCAGAGAGUUCAUAUCGACGAAAGUAGUUGCGACCUCGAUGUUGAAUUAAGAUUACUUUAGGGUGUAGCCGUUCUAAAUGAAGGUCUGUUCGACCUUUAAAAUCUU